CCUACGGGAGGCAGCAGUGAGGAAUAUUGGUCAAUGGUCGGGAGACGGAACCAGCCAAGCCGCGUGAGGGAGGAAGGUACAGAGGAUAGUAAACCUCUUUUGUCAGGGAACAAAGGCGGGGACGUGUCCCCGGAUGAGUGUACCUGAAGAAAAAGCAUCGGCAAAUCCCGUGCCAGCAGCCGCGGUAAUACGGGGGAGGCGAGCGUUAUCCGGAUUUAGUGGGUUAAAAGGGUGCGCAGGCGGUCUGUUAAGUCAGCGGUCAAAGCCCGGGGCCCAACCCCGGCCCGCCGUUGAAACUGGCAGUCUCGAGUUGGGGAGAGGUAUGCGGAAUGCGCGGUGUAGCGGUGAAAUGCAUAGAUAUCGCGCAGAACUCCGAUUGCGAAGGCAGCAUGCCGGCUCCACACUGACGCUGAGGCACGAAAGCGUGGGUAUCGAACAGGAUUAGAUACCCUGGUAGUC
rnacentral:rRNA from 1 species